GAUUAACGCUGGCGGCGUGCAUAACACAUUCAAGUCGAACGGUGACGGGGCUUCGGCCCCUGAUCAGUGGCGGACGGGUGAGUAACGCGUGAGCAAUCUACCUUCCAGUACGGGAUACCAACCGGAAACAGUUGCUAAUACCGUAUGAAAUGGCAGUACCGCAUGGUGCAACCAUCAAAGAUUUAUUGCUGGAAGAUGAGCUUGCGUCCGAUUAGAUAGUUGGCGGGGUAACGGCCCACCAAGUCGACGAUCGGUAGCCGGACUGAGAUGUGGAACGACCACAUUGGAACUGAGAUACGGUCCAGACUCCUACGGGAGGCAGCAGUGGGGAAUAUUGGGCAAUGGGCGAAAGCCUGACCCAGCGACGCCGCGUGAGGGAAGAAGAUCUUCGGAUUGUAAACCUUAGUCAACAGGGAAGAAGAAAGUGACGGUACCUGUGGAGGAAGCCACGGCUAACUACGUGCCAGCAGCCGCCGUAACAC
rnacentral:rRNA from 1 species